ACCUGCCCACUGAAAUUUUUUAACGGCCGCAGUAAUUUGACUGUGCAAAGGUAGCAUAAUCAUUAGUUUUUUAAUUAAAAGCUUGUAUGAAGGGUUGGACGAGGUAAAAUCUGUCUCUAUUUAAUUUAAUAUAGAAUUUAAUUUUUAAGUUAAAAAGCUUAAAUUUUAAUAAAAGACGAGAAGACCCUAUAGAUCUUUAUAUUAUUUAUAUUAAUUUUAAUUAAGAAUUAUUUAUUAAUUAAUAUAAAUAAUAUUUUAUUGGGGUAAUAAAAAGAUUAAAAAAAUUCUUUUAUAAAUUAUACAUUGAUUAAUGAAUAAAUGAUCCAAUUAUUUUGAUUAUAAGAUUAAGUUACCUUAGGGAUAACAGCGUAAUUUUUUUAGAGAGUUCUUAUCGAUAAAAAAGUUUGCGACCUCGAUGUUGGAUUAAAAAUUAUCUUAGGUGCAGAAGUUUAAGAUUUUGGUCUGUUCGACCAUUAAAUUUUU
rnacentral:rRNA from 1 species